UGAAUACGAGACGCUACGGCGUCGAAGCAGUCGAUGUCAUACUCCCAAGAAAAGCUUGCAAUGUCAUAAACAAAUAAUGCCUGUACCAUAACCGACACAGGUGGGUAGGUAGAGUAUACUAAGGGGCGCGAGAUAACUCUCUCUAAGGAACUCGGCAAAAUGACUCCGUAACUUCGGGAGGAGGAGUGCCUUAUUUAUAAGGUUGCAAUAACAAGAUCCAAGCAACUGUUUAUCAAAAACACAGGUCUCCGCUAAGUCGUAAGACGAUGUAUGGGGGCUGACGCCUGCCCAGUGCCAGAAGGUUAAAGAAGUUGGUUAGCAUCCGCGAAGCUGAUAACUGGAGCCCUGGUGAACGGCGGCCGUAACGAUAACGGUCCUAAGGUAGCGAAAUUCCUUGUCGGGUAAGUUCCGACCCGCACGAAAGGCGUAAUGAUUUGGAUACUGUCUCGGAGAGGGACUCGGUGAAAUAGACUUGUCUGUGAAGAUGCGGACUACCUGCACCUGGACAGAAAGACCCUAUGAAGCUUUACUGUAACUUGAAAUUGAAAUUGGACUUUAUUUGUGCAGUAUAGGUGGUAGGCGUUGAGAAUAUUCUUGCGGGAAUAUUGGAGCCAUCAGUGAGAUACCACUCUUGUAAUGUUAGAUUUCUAACUUUGCAUCAUUAUCUGGUCAAAGAACAGUUUCAGGCGGGCAGUUUGACUGGGGCGGUCGCCUCCCAAACGGUAACGGAGGCGUACAAAGGUUUCCUCUGAACGGGUAGAAAUCGUAUCUAGAGUGUAAAGGCAUAAGGAAGCUUGACUGUGAGACCUACAAGUCGAGCAGGGACGAAAGUCGGUCUUAGUGAUCUGACGGUGCUGAGUGGAAAGGCCGUCACUCAACGGAUAAAAGUUACUCUAGGAUAACAGGCUGAUCUCCCCCAAGAGUUCACAUCGACGGGGAGGUUUGGCACCUCGAUGUCGGCUCAUCGCAUCCUGGGGCGGUAGUACGUCCAAAGGGUUGGGCUGUUCGCCCAUGAAAGCGGUACGCGAGCUGGGUUCAGAACGUCGUGAGACAGUUCGGUCCAUAUCCGGUGUAGGCGUUAGAAUAUUGAGAGGAGCCUUCUUUAGUACGAGAGGACCGAGAAGGACAUACCUCUGGUGUACCAGUUAUCGUGCCAACGGUAAACGCUGGGUAGCUAUGUAUGGAGAGGAUAACCGCUGAAAGCAUCUAAGUGGGAAGCCCACCUCAAGAUAAGUAUUCUCAU
rnacentral:rRNA from 1 species